rnacentral:rRNA from 1 species
UACGAAGGGAGCUAGCGUUGUUCGGAAUCACUGGGCGUAAAGCGCACGUAGGCGGUAUGUGUCAGUCAGGGGUGAAAUCCCGGAGCUCAACUUCGGAACUGCCUCUGAUACAGCACGUCUUGAGUCCGGAAGAGGUGGGUGGAAUUCCUAGUGUAGAGGUGAAAUUCGUAGAUAUUAGGAAGAACACCGGUGGCGAAGGCGGCCCACUGGUCCGGUACUGACGCUGAGGUGCGAAAGCGUGGGGAGCAAACAGG